CACCAGCGCCACGAGUGGCUAUCACGAUUAUUGGGCCUAAAGCGUCCGUAGUCGGUCUUGUGCAUCUUCUGUGAAAUCGUUGCGCUUAACGUAACGGCAUGCGGAAGACACGGCAAGGCUUGAGAGCGGGAGGCGUGUAGGGUACUCCGGGGGGACCGGUAAAAUGGUAUAAUCCCCGGAAGACCACCUGUGGCGAAGGCGCUACACGAGAACGCAUCUGACGAUGAGGGACGAAAGCCAGGGGAGCAAACCG
rnacentral:rRNA from 1 species